GGUGUGCGUGUGCAAUCAAUUCACCGGAAUGAAGAGUAGUUACUAGCAGUUAGUGAAGACCUGUAAAGCUAAUGUACAAAAAACUGAAAUUAAACUAUUUUUAUUGCUCCUAUUGUUGAACAAAAUCCUAAAAAUUUCAUCAUUACUAUCUCUCCCCUCUUCCCCUUUAUAAUUACAAUUUCACCAUCACAUUCUCCCCUUUCCUGUUUAUAAUUACAGCAGGAGAAAGAAGUUUUCAUUACAGGAGAAAAUGGCUACUGGCCGAAAUCCUUACCGGAGAACCGGGCAAUUGAUUUCUGAGCACCGCCGCCGUCUCCGAUGGCAACUUGUCUCCAGUCAUCUCUCACAAAGGACAAAGUUGUAACGGGUUUCCUUGAACAUUCACCUGAAGUCCAGGCUGAUAUUAUUUUGCUAAAUGUGAUUGUGAAGAUGUUAGAUGAAGGUGGGAGUUCUUGAUUCGUGAACAUGAAGAUUUGAGAAAAUGGGAGUUUUGAUAUGUUUAUUUUCG
rnacentral:lncRNA from 1 species